rnacentral:lncRNA from 1 species
GGGAGACUAGGAGGGCUCCUGCAUCUCCUGGUCCCUCUGUGGAUAAAUACACGGCCAGUGCCCCAGGCCUGGGUCCAUAUGAACACUCUCCCUCCCCCACCACCAGGAAAAGCAGUCACAGCUACAGGUGGGCAUCCUCCCCUCCUCCCCACUGUGCUCCCAGGCACCUGCUGGCUGUGCUAUGCUCUGCAACACAGGGCUGCCGGCCAGGGUGGGGCCACAGUUAGUCUCAUUCCACCUGUGCCGUCUCUGACUCACUGCACUGUCCGAGUGGGCAGAAGGUAGGUGCCGGCUCCAGGGCCAGGGGACACUUAGCAACUGCUCAGAAUCUCCCAAAGGUGGCUUUUCCUCAAGGUACCAUCUCCUUCCUCCUUUCACCAGCUCUCCCAAAAACAGGUGUGAGAACUAGUCCCUUGAUGUGAGAGAUACUGUGAAGUUCUUGCUUUAUUUUAAACCCCAGCUUAAUCAGAUGAUUUUUCUUGUGGGCUAAGCACUUUCAUCCUUUGCCUCCUUGAGAAAAUUGUCAAAGCUGAAGGUCUCCUUGCCAAUGAAUCAAUUUCUGCCUCUAGCACCUUUUCCCUCUUUCACUUCCAUUGUGCAAAUAACCAGUUCAUGCUCUGGGUCGGUUGGCUGAGCAGACAGGCAGGUGGCACCUGCACAGGUAAGUGGUUGGGAUGAAAGUCAGGUCCUUUUUUCUCCCUCCACAACCAGAACCCCAAUUAACCUGGUACCCACAAGUUCCCGCCCUGGCUAGCGCCCUCCAACUGGGCCCAUUUUGCAUUCAAUGCGAUUCCAAAAACAAAAAAAAGUGUUUCACGUAAGCCCUUAAGAUACAACAAGAGUAGGGCAGAAUUUUAAUACUGGUUUUGCUUUAAGACGCAAGUAAGUCUCUUUUGGGAGCCAGCAUGAAGUGGGGGCACCACCACUAUCCAACUGCAGAUGGGGUUGGCUCCAGGCAACAGGUGGAUGCUGGACGGGGAAACCAGGAAAGGCUGGGCCCUACAAGGAGCCCACCAUGACCUGCAAAGGCCAAGGAGGCCAAGCACUCAGGAACUGCAGGAAGACAGGCUGUAGGGGACAUCAGGAGAACUAAGUGUCUUAGUCUGUUUUGUGUUUCUAUAACAGAACACCACAGACUGGGCCGUUUAUAAAGAAAAAUUUAUUUUGCGCAGUUCUGGAGGUUGGGAAGUCCAAAGUCGAGUGGCCGUAUCCGGUGAGAGCCCUCCUGCAGCAUCAUCCCAUGACGGAAGGUGUCCCAUGGUGAGAGAGCACGUAUACCAGCUCAGGUCUCCCUUCCUUUUCUCAUAAGGCCACAUCCCCCAUCGGGUCCCAUCCUGAUGUCCUCAUCUAAUCCUAGUUACCUCCCAAAGGCCCCACCUCCAAUCAACAUGUGACUAUGGGGAGUAAGUUUCCAGCCUAUGAAACUGGGGGACACAUUCAAACCACAGCACCAAGCAAGCUGGAGCAGCCAAGAGGAAGCCACAUGUUCCUGCAGGGCAGGGCAGCCUCCACCAUGCAGGGCUGGGACAGGCCAGGGCAGUGAGGGCUCAUGGGGGCCGCACCCACGCCAGCUCCUGCAGCACCAGCCUCUGGCCAGCUGUGUGCCUGGAGCAGAGGGGAGCAGGACCCACGUCCCAGUCCCCCACAUCCCAGAUCUCACCGAAGAGAUCAACUAGCCUAGGGCCAGGCCAGUAGGAGAGGACCUUGUCCAUUUUCUCCAUGAAAAGUCAACAUUUAUCUCUCCAAGUACAAGUCACUUCCUAAUCUUGAGAUGUGUGGAAACAAGCUCUUUAUGCUGAAAAUCAACUUCUACAUUUUAGUUCUGAGAUGUGAUUCUGCCAGCCAUGGUGGACGAGGAGGAUGGUAGGGACUUAGCUAGAGUAGCACGUCCUCACUAGACAGGGGUGGGUGGUGUGGGGAGGUGGGGGGCUUGGCCUUAGCCUGAGUGUGACGUUCAGCCUGCAUCUUGAGCACAGUGAGAGCCUGAGCCACUGCACCACUGAAGAUGCUUAGAAGAGAGACCACAGCAGGCGAGGAGGCUUCCCAGGGGUCUGCGCUGACAAACCAGGGAUGAGGGUGGCCAGCUGUGCAUGAGCCCCCCAGCGCCCAUGCAGGCGUCCCCACCUUCACCACCUAAGUGUGGUCACGCACCCAGGGAGAGCUUUCAACCUGGCUCUCUCAAGUGUGUUUCUAAACACUAGAGCCAGGAAUCCUGUCCUGUGGGUCCCUGAAACAUAACCGGUGAGCCCAAGAUCUCCUCGGAGAAACAAGGCUCCCCUUAGGGAGGGCCCAGGAACGUGGGGGCCUCUGUGAGGCAGAGGGUCCCAGAGGGUAUGACCGUUUCUGCAGAAUGGUGGCCACUCUGCAGAAACAAAAUCACAGCCCAGGAAGAGCUGCCAAAGUGGGGGCCAGGGGAGCCGGAGAGGGGGACUGAGCCAGAUGCCUGCAGAGCCGUGGCUCACAGCCUCUAGGAGGUACGCCCAUGAAUGUUUCAGAACACAUUUGAGGACUGACGUAUGUGACCAACUUUUUCUUUUGUUAAGCAAGGAUUUUUAAUCACCAUUACUGGAUUAAAGAAAAAACAUUUUGGCUGGGUGCAGUGGCUCACACCUUUAAUCCUAGCACUUUGGGAGGCUGAGGCAGGCGGAUCACUUGAGGUCAGGAGUUUGAGACCAGCCUAAGCAACAUGGCGAAAUGCCAUCUCUACUAAAAAUACAAAAAUUAGCCAGGCCUGAUGACACGCACCUGUACACCUGUAGUCCCAGCUACCUGGGAGGCUGAGGCAUGAGAAUUGCUUGAACCUGGGGAGGCGGAGGUUGCAGUGAGAUGAGAUGGUGCCACUGCACUCCAGCCUGGGUGACAGAGUGAGACUCCAUCUCAAAAUAAAUAAAUAAAUGACAUUUUAAUACCACAAUUAGGAUAAUUUCAGAAUAAAAAUUUUUUUUCUUUAAAACUUUGUAGAAAAUCCCACACACCCAAUUUGGCCUUGUCUGGGAAAUGUGAGGAUUCCUGUCUCCUGGGACAGACAGUCUCACUGCCAGGCAUCCUCCCCCUGCAGUGAUUCACAUCCUACAAUGUCUGCCCUGAUGUGUCAAUUGUAGAGUAGGUCCCUCAUGGAGGCCCAGAGGCCCCAGCCCAGAGCCCGUCUGUCAGUCAUUGGCUGAGAGUGGUUGGGACAGGUGACCCCGCAGUUGAGGCGACCCCCCACGAUCUCUGGAAAAGGCAGCUGAGCCCCAGUUGCAGCAGGUUGGGGGAGAUGGUGCUGCCACAGCACAAAGGACCUAGCCCCAGUGGCACCCACCACUGUCAGAACUCUCCACUGAGGGCCAGGGUGGAUCUUUCCUCCCACAUCCAAGCGCAUCUGACAUCUUCACCUUGAAUCCUGAGUUUCUCUCUUAACUCUGUCUCACUUUGUCAUGAACAAACUCUUUCUUGAAAGUUGUAUUUCUCUGGGGCCAGAAAGGCGAGGAAAGAGGCGCUUUCUCCUGGGAGGUGGGCCUCGUGUGUCCCUGUCGUGGCUGAGAGUGACUGCCCCAGCACCUAUGAAGAAAGCCCAGAGACUCUGGAGGCUCAGCUGGGAUAACGCCUGGCGUGCUCGGGGGUCAUGGCCACCGCCUGGACUCUGGAAAAAUGGGAAAAAUGCUCUUGGCAGACAGCGGGGCAGUCAGGAGGGAGCUGGCCCCACCAGCCCAGGCAACGCCCAAGAGCUGUCCUCCCACUCGGCUCCAGGAGACGUUUAAAUGGGGCCUGACUCCCCCAUCUCUGAUUUAAAAGAUAACCAGAAGCAGCAGAGAAAACAUCUGAAGUGCUUCCUGGACACACCUGUUAGGAAGUUUCUGCAAGAACCCAGGUCCUCCUUCCCACCAGACAUGAGGAUUUUAACUUGAUCAUCUCUGCAAAGACCUUAUCUUCAAAUACAGUUACAUUCUGAAGUCCUGGGGGUUAGGGCUGCAACACCCGAAUUGGUGGAGACAAAAUCCAGCUCCUGACAAUACCGCGUAUGAUAGCUGCGUCUCUGCCUGCAGUACUGUUUUCCAGGGAAAGCAUCUUUGAGUGUAUUCAGAAAGCCUCUCUCUGGGGCCAGGCCUUGCAGAGAAUCCUUCAGAAACUGGACAACCCCACCCAAGGCAGUCAGUGGGGAGGACACAUUUGGUGCCUCAUUGGUCCCUGGAUCUGCCUCACAGUCCUCAAUGUUCCUCCUCGUUCCCUCUACUCUUUCUCCUCUUUGGUUGACCUUGAAGCUCAUUCCUGGUGAAGGCCCCGUGGGAGCAGUGCAAUGACAAGAGGAGCCUGUUUUCAAUAGCACCCUCACGCUCUCCAGGGGUCCAUUGGAGGCGCCUAUGACCUCCUGAUGCUGAGGAGCCUAGAGUGGGCAGCCCUCGGGCCCAGGCUCCACCUGGGUGAGGCCUGUUUUAUUAUCAAUACUCACCACAGUCAUUUGUGGGAGUGUAAUGCUCAUAUUCCCAUUUAAGAGAUGAAUAAACUGAGGCAAGGUGAAGUGACUCAGCUGAGGCCACACCACAGUUUAAUGGGGAAGCCAGGAUAAGAGCUGGCGGCUUCUAUGUCUGAUCUACACUCUGAUGGGAGGUCGUCAGAGAGCCAUGUAAACGGUGAGGAGGUGACAUGCUGGUCCCUUCCAUAAAAGCUGUUUUGCAAAAUUAAAACACACACACAGUAAAGAUCCAGAUUUAUGCAAGUGAGAGUGAGGGGCUGACUAUUUACCAGUCAACAGAUCUCCCCAAAUGGUUCUCUGCUUGGGGUUGAGAUGCUCCUGACCAGCAGGGCUUGGGGAGAGACAUUCUUGCUCCCCCUAGAGCUGGCUGACCCAUACCCAGGGGAUUCUGAGCACCAGGGGCUGGGAGCAGCAUGUACCACGUGUUUCCCAAGAGUUAGUCAUGUUUGCUCCUAAAACUUAUUGUAAUCGAGGAAUCUAAUUAAACAAUACACCAACUGAAGAAACAGUGCAAAAAGAAUGAGUGACUGUUUCUAUGAAAACUUAGAUGAACUACUUUGGAAAGAUUCAAUAAAAAGCAUGCCUAAAUACAUAUACUGGGGCCAGGAGCAGUGAUUCACACUUGUAACCCCAGUGCUUUGGGAGGCUGAGGUGGGAGGGUGGCUUGAGGCUAGGAGUUUGAAACCAGCCUAGGCAACAUAGCAAGACCCUGUCUCUACAAAAAAACAAAAAUUUUUCAACUGGUUGUGGCAGCACCUGCCUAUGGUCCCAGCUGCUCUGGAAGCUGAGGUGAGAGGAUCACUCGAGCCCAGGAGUUCAGGCUGCAGUGAGCCGCAAGUGUGCCACUGCACUCCACCCUGGGCAACAGAGCAAGACCCUGUCUCUAAAAAAAUAAAUAAAAUAUGUACAUCCAGAUACAGUAUUAUGUGUGGGCGAGACACCGGUAAAAGAUGGAAACAAUCAUAAAAGUCAGGCAGGAUUCCACCUAAGAUUGUCUUUAGCUCUCAAUCUACCUUGUUUUAAAAUUUUUUUAUGAGCCAUAAAAGACCUAAGACUAGUCUUUAUUGUACAACUUGAUGAAUUCUGAUCCUGUGGCCAUACAGUUCAAAAUAGAGCAUUCUAGCACUCAGAAAGCUCCCUAGUGCCCUCAUCAGUUGGUGCCUGUCAACCCCAAGGAUGUCAUAGUCAUUUGGACACCCCUGGCACAGUCAUUCCACUUAGAGACUCUGCCAGAAGUCCCAGAUCAUAAUCAGGAGUGAAAUUUACACAAGAAGGGGCCGGAAGCCCUAGUGAGUAGUGAACUCAACUCCAAAAUAACCCUACACUAAAAAUAAAACUGGAACGUACUUUUUAUGUUUGAAAUUUAAAUAAGAUAGAUGUAUUUUUGUUAAAUCGUUCCAACCUGUACAACUUUUCUAUUCAUCAGCCAACUAGCCAGAGAAAGGGGGUUUCUGCUGCUGUCAGAGUAUAAAAAUGAGCUGCAAUUUUCAAAAUUUGACCUCAUCUAACUUUCUCCAGCUAUGCCAUUCCUGGAGCAUCCUCAGUCCAGUGCCUGAUGCGUAAAACAUAAUAAAAAGGUGACCCCACCACACCAAACACUGGGGUGUCUGUAGCAGUGACCGCGUCUCACGGGGAUUUUGUCUGAAUGCCUGUUCCUCCACUCGCCUAAUCCAUGGAGGUCAGGGAACCACGCAC